rnacentral:misc_RNA from 1 species
CAGUAUAUUCAAAAGCUGCUGCAUAAUGAUAUAGCAAGGAAAAAUGUGCAAACACCAGUAGAAGCAUGCAAAUAUAUAUAGUGUAUGGACAAGUAUGCACAAAAGGGCAGUAAAGGCAAUGAGAAUCAAUGAAAAACUAAUGGAAUAGCCAUCCAAUAGAAAAAUAGAAUUCAAGGCAAACUAAAAUUGUUUCAACACAUCCAAAAAGAAAAACUCCUAGAAGUUUGAACAAAAUCAAAAUAAAAACUAAUCUAAUUCUAUGGUUUUG